UUCAAUCAGUUUAAUUCCACUUGGGAUCUACUCUUUAAGGAUUCCACCCCUGGUUUGGACAGCGCUCAGUCUCAAAAUCAGUACGUAACAAACUACAAAAACCAGGUUUCUGCAGUGUGUUCCACUUCUUUAAGUACAAAAACCGCCGCAUCUUUGCUCACUAUAUUUUUAGCAAUUUUAUCAGUAAGACUGAACUUUUAGAACAUUUUAAAUAAACAUCUUAACACUUGUGGAAGCAUGCAG